UGCCAGCAGCCGCGGUAAUACGGAGGGGGCUAACGUUGUUCGGAAUUACUGGGCUUAAAGAGUUCGUAGGUUGUUGAAAUAGUUGGUGGUGAAAUCCCAGAGCUUAACUCUGGAACUGCCAUCAAAACUUUUCAGCUAGAGUAUGAUAGAGGAAAGCAGAAUUUCUAGUGUAGAGGUGAAAUUCGUAGAUAUUAGAAAGAAUACCAAUUGCGAAGGCAGCUUUCUGGAUCAUUACUGACACUGAGGAACGAAAGCAUGGGUAGCGAAGAGGAUUAGAUA
rnacentral:rRNA from 1 species